rnacentral:rRNA from 1 species
CGCUUUCGGGCGGGGAUGAGUGGCGAACGGGUGAGUAACACGUGGGUAAUCUGCCCUGCACUCUGGGAUAAGCCCGGGAAACUGGGUCUAAUACCGGAUAUGAUGCCUGAGCGCAUGCUCGGGUGUGGAAAGUUCCGGCGGUGCAGGAUGAGCCCGCGGCCUAUCAGCUUGUUGGUGGGGUGAUGGCCUACCAAGGCGACGACGGGUAGCCGGCCUGAGAGGGCGACCGGCCACACUGGGACUGAGACACGGCCCAGACUCCUACGGGAGGCAGCAGUGGGGAAUAUUGCACAAUGGGCGGAAGCCUGAUGCAGCGACGCCGCGUGAGGGAUGACGGCCUUCGGGUUGUAAACCUCUUUCAGCAGGGAAGAAGCGCAAGUGACGGUACCUGCAGAAGAAGCACCGGCUAACUACGUGCCAGCAGCCGCGGUAAUACGUAGGGUGCAAGCGUUGUCCGGAAUUAUUGGGCGUAAAGAGCUCGUAGGCGGUUUGUCGCGUCGAUUGUGAAAGCCCGGGGCUCAACCCCGGGUCUGCAGUCGA